rnacentral:rRNA from 1 species
GAUCCUGGCUCAGGAUGAACGCUGGCGGCGUGCUUAACACAUGCAAGUCGAACGAUGAAGCUCCAGCUUGCUGGGGUGGAUUAGUGGCGAACGGGUGAGUAACACGUGAGUAACCUGCCCUUGACUCUGGGAUAAGCCUUGGAAACGGGGUCUAAUACCGGAUAGGAGCAUUCACCGCAUGGUGGGUGUUGGAAAGAAUUUCGGUCUUGGAUGGACUCGCGGCCCAUCAGCUUGUUGGUGAGG